GUUUUUUCAAUCCGGGUUUGGAACAGGCUGACGUUGGAGGACCUGUUCAGACGACACUCCUGUAUGAUGAAAACAAGGGAGAAUUGCAGAAAAGAAGAUACGGAAGCAGAACGAGUUCUCGUCUUUAAAAGUCUGCGGCCGAGAAUAGGCAGAGUCACUAAUGGAAUAGAAACUGGUUGGCAUCCAGCCAGAGCGAGAAAGGGAAGAGGGCAAGUGGCAACUCGCAGCAGGCAGCAAACGGCGCUGGAGAUGCAAGCUAGAAUUGUUUCAGUUGUCUAAAGGAAAGUAAUAGCCAUCCACAGGCUUCAGUCUCAAUUGGGCCCUGUUGUGCCAAGCGCUGCGUGGACUUCAAAGCGUUUGUCUAGGACGUAUUCGGAACAUCAAGAACUGGAACUAAUUAGCAGUUGGUUUAGCACUUGGUUAUUUGAUCAACCAAUGACUGGAUCAAAAGUUGAGCAACGUUCAAAGCAUUUUCUUGAUGUCUGUGCAGAGUACAGUACAUCAGACUGCGAUGCUCCUUCCCACUGGAAAGCAAACACCAGAGCUAUAUAUGCUUGGGUUGUUUGGUACCUUACCUUUGG